UACGUAGGGGGCAAGCGUUGUCCGGAAUCAUUGGGCGUAAAGAGCGUGUAGGCGGUCCGGUAAGUCGGUUGUGAAAGUCCAGGGCUCAACCCUGGGAUGCCGAUCGAUACUGUCGGACUAGAGUUCGGAAGAGGCGAGUGGAAUUCCCGGUGUAGCGAUGAAAUGCGCAGAUAUCGGGAGGAACACCAAUGGCGAAGGCAGCUCGCUGGGACGUUACUGACGCUGAGACGCGAAAGCGUGGGGAGCAAACAGG
rnacentral:rRNA from 1 species